CCGGUAUGGGAUGGGGUCGCGUCCUAUCAGCUUGUUGGUGAGGUGACGGCUCACCAAGGCUUCGACGGGUAGCCGGCCUGAGAGGGCGACCGGCCACAUUGGGACUGAGAUACGGCCCAGACUCCUACGGGAGGCAGCAGUGGGGAAUAUUGCACAAUGGGCGCAAGCCUGAUGCAGCGACGCCGCGUGCGGGAUGACGGCCUUCGGGUUGUAAACCGCUUUUGAUUGGGAGCAAGCGGNNAAGUGAGUGUACCUUUCGAAUAAGCGCCGGCUAACUACGUGCCAGCAGCCGCGGUAAUACGUAGGGCGCAAGCGUUGUCCGGAAUUAUUGGGCGUAAAGGGCUCGUAGGCGGCCCGUCGCGUCCGGUGUGAAAGCCCGUCGCUUAACGNUGGGUCUGCGCCGGGUACGGGCGGGCUGGAGUGCGGUAGGGGAGACUGGAAUUCCCGGUGUAACGGUGGAAUGUGUANAUAUCGGGAAGAACACCAAUGGCGAAGGCAGGUCUCUGGGCCGUAACUGACGCUGAGGAGCGAAAGCGUGGGGAGCGAACAGGAUUAGAUACCCUGGUAGUCCACGCCGUAAACGGUGGACGCUGGAUGUGGGGCCCUUUCCACGGGUUCCGUGUCNGAGCUAACGCAUUAAGCGUCCCGCCUGGGGANUACGGCCGCAAGGCUAAAACUCAAAGAANUUGACGGGGGCCCGCACAAGCGGCGGAGCAUGCGGAUUAAUUCGAUGCAACGCGAAGAACCUUACCUGGGCUUGACAUGUUCCCGACGACCGCAGAGAUGUGGUUUCCCUUCGGGGCGGGUUCACAGGUGGUGCAUGGUCGUCGUCAGCUCGUGUCGUGAGAUGUUGGGUUAAGUCCCGCAACGAGCGCAACCCUUGCCCUGUGUUGCCAGCGCGUCAUGGCGGGGACUCACGGGGGACCGCCGGGGUUAACUCGGAGGAAGGUGGGGAUGACGUCAGAUCAUCAUGCCCCUUACGUCCAGGGCUUCACGCAUGCUACAAUGGCCGGUACAGCGGGAUGCGAUGGCGCGAGCCGGAGCGGAUCCCUGAAAACCGGUCUCAGUUCGGAUCGGAGCCUGCAACUCGGCUCCGNGAAGGUGGAGUCGCUAGUAAUCGCGGAUCAGCAACGCCGCGGUGAAUGCGUUGCCGGGCCUUUUGCCCC
rnacentral:rRNA from 1 species